GAUGAACGCUGGCGGCGUGCCUAAUACAUGCAAGUCGAGCGAACGGACGAGAAGCUUGCUUCUCUGAUGUUAGCGGCGGACGGGUGAGUAACACGUGGACAACCUACCUAUGAGACUGGGAUAACUUCGGGAAACCGGAGCUAAUACCGGAUAAUAUUUUGAACCGCAUGGUUCAAAAGUGAAAGACGGUCUUGCUGUCACUUAUAGAUGGAUCCGCGCUGCAUUAGCUAGUUGGUAAGGUAACGGCUUACCAAGGCAACGAUGCAUAGCCGACCUGAGAGGGUGAUCGGCCACACUGGAACUGAGACACGGUCCAGACUCCUACGGGAGGCAGCAGUAGGGAAUCUUCCGCAAUGGGCGAAAGCCUGACGGAGCAACGCCGCGUGAGUGAUGAAGGUCUUCGGAUCGUAAAACUCUGUUAUUAGGGAAGAACAUAUGUGUAAGUAACUGUGCACAUCUUGACGGUACCUAAUCAGAAAGCCACGGCUAACUACGUG
rnacentral:rRNA from 1 species